GAGUUGGUAGCUCAGUGGUAGAGUGCAAUCUCUGAAUGUGUGAUGUCCUGGGUUCAACGCCCAGCUAUUUUC